rnacentral:rRNA from 1 species
AUUGAACGCUGGCGGCAGGCCUAACACAUGCAAGUCGAGCGGAUGAGUGGAGCUUGCUCCAUGAUUCAGCGGCGGACGGGUGAGUAAUGCCUAGGAAUCUGCCUGGUAGUGGGGGGCAACGUUUCGAAAGGAACGCUAAUACCGCAUACGUCCUACGGGAGAAAGCAGGGGACCUUCGGGCCUUGCGCUAUCAGAUGAGCCUAGGUCGGAUUAGCUAGUAGGUGAGGUAAUGGCUCACCUAGGCGACGAUCCGUAACUGGUCUGAGAGGAUGAUCAGUCACACUGGAACUGAGACACGGUCCAGACUCCUACGGGAGGCAGCAGUGGGGAAUAUUGGACAAUGGGCGAAAGCCUGAUCCAGCCAUGCCGCGUGUGUGAAGAAGGUCUUCGGAUUGUAAAGCACUUUAAGUUGGGUAGGAAGGGCGAGUAAGUUAAUACCUUGCUGUUUGACGUUACCAACAGAAUAAGCACGGCUAAC